rnacentral:lncRNA from 1 species
CGGAUCACCACCACCAACUCCGGGGAUCGAAACACCGUUUCCAUUUGGGGCACCUGUGAUGGGGUCGUAGUUGAAGUUGAAGUGGGACCCUUUUGGAGGUAACAUCACUCGGCCGAUGCCUGGAAUCAACACUGAUCGAUCGAAAUGUCCAAACCACUCGGGCUGCAGCUUGGCAUCGGCCGGGAUGUUUCGUGCUUCAACGGUAGCAUGAUGUACUACUAGAUAGAUUGACAAGAAGACAACAAAACCGAGAAAUGCUCGGCUAUGGAAAGCCAUAUCGACUUAGAUUAAUGUGGAGGCAAAGAUAAGGAGAAUGUAUUACGGAGAUUGAUGAUGAUCAGUUGCUUGGUGAUAGUGGAAAUGUGUGAAGGGUUUUUUAUACUUGAAUUUUUGUGACAGUGUUUUGGCGGUGAGUUAAUAGAUUGUGUGAUGUAGAGAGUAUUUAUUUGCAGGAGUACGUUGGUUUUGCAUGCUGAAACAUAGUGGUUGCACAUUUAAGGGAGAAUAAUUAAUGAACCUUUUUCACAAACCAAGAAUGAACGGCUAAUCAAUUCUUUAUAUUCUUCCUAGGGUUAAUAUGCUAGAGGUCCCUAGUUGGAUCUGACAAUUUUGAGAUUCGAUAAGCACUUGAAGCAAAUUUUUUACUUCAAAUAUCUCAAGAUCCGAAUGGUCCUGCGAUGGGCAGUUUUCAGUUGACGAGUUGAACACGAAAGACUAAUUAUUUUUCUGAGAAAUGGUUUGCGAGUUAUUCAUACAGAGUCUAAAAUGUAGGAUCACUAAAAAAUCGGGUAAUUCAACAAGAACUUGUGUUUAUGUGACGGUAAUUCUGUAUUUUUUUUAUCCUAUUCCUUACGAUAUACCUUCGUGAUCUGAGAGUAUGCCUACACUAGUCUAUUUACAACUAUUACAUGAAAUGACUCUGUUUGUACACAAAUGCAACCGAAUUGGAGAAAGUGGAUUAUUACGGAACGAGCAAUUUUGCACUUUGAGACUUUCUUGGCUUAUUGUGAUAAGCAGCUGACGUUAAUUCCAUUUAUACUUAUAAUUCGUUAAUUCCAUUUGUGAUAAGCGUCUUAUUUAAAAGCCAGCUACUUAUCUUUAGCAUAGCGCUCUGCUGAAACUACACUGCUCUGUCUUUUAAUCUGCUAUCUGUUAACUAACCUUCGGUUUUGUUUUCCUUGCCAUAUAUUUGCAGGAUAGCUAUUUGUUACAUGGGUGGGCAUUCGAUCUUGGCUCAAGUACUUAAACAGUGCUUCACAGGCAUGCCGUUAAUUUUUCGUUAUUUUGGAUAAUGGCAUGCUCAAAGCGAACUCUUGCAUUUAUUUUUGUGUAGAAUGAAUCAUUUUUGACAAAAUAUUGUACUGUUUUACUUUUUUUUUUUUUUGUAAAGUUUUGACUUGAAUCUACAAACAUGCACUGCUCCAUCCAGUAUCUAUAUAUUUUUAUUCAUCUAUUAGAUAAACUGUACUAUACUAGAUACUAAACUGCAAUUCAUGUUAAAAAAAGUCGGUGUACAGAGUACAAUUCUCCUUUUUUUUGUAUAGGUAUGACCCGAUUUAUUGUGUACUUGCAAAAGAAAUAACAUAUACAUACAGUCGAUCAAAAACUAAUGUAGCAAGCAUACUUGAAACAUGAAACACUAAGUUUUAAAGGAUGCAAAAAAGCUAGAUUCUCUUUAUUGAUAGCGAACACAGUACAACUAGAAUAUAUAGCAAAUACUGAAACAUACAUACAAUCUCAAAGACUGAAAAUAAAGCACACAAUUUCAACCAUAGUUACUUAAUUAUUUUACUUGAAAAAAAAAAUCCAGCUAAUUAAUAAGAUAAGUCAUUAAUGGCCAGAUGGUGUAGGAACCCUGCUGCCAGUGCCACCACUAGGGUUUGGCACCUCCACUCCGGGGUUGGGCAAAAGCGUGUCGUCACCGCCAGGAACAUAGUUGCGGGGGCUUCCGCUCCCUGCCGGAUCACCACCACCAACUCUGGGGAUGGAAACACCGUUGCCAUUUGGGGAACCGGUAAUGGGGUUGUAGUUGAAGUUGAGGUGGGACCCUUUUGGAGGUAACAUCACUCGGCCGAUGCCUGGGAUCAACACUGAUCGAUCGUAAUGUCCGAACCACUCGGGCUCCAGCUUGGCAUCGGCCGGGAUAUUUCGUGCUCCGACACUAGUAUGAACUACUAGUGCAAGAGAGACGGACAAGAAGACCAUAAGACUGAGAAAUGCUCGGCUGUGGGAAGCCAUAUAUAUUGCCUUAAUUAGAUUAAUGUAUUGGAGGCAAAGAAAAGGAGAGUGUAUUAGGGAGAUUGAUGAUUAGUUGCUUGGUGAUGGUGGAAAUGUAUGAAGGAUUUUGAGGGUUUUUUAUACUUGAAUUUUUGUGACUGUGUUUUGGCGGUGAGUUAAUGGAUUUUGUGAUCU